UACGGAGGGAGCUAGCGUUGUUCGGAAUUACUGGGCGUAAAGCGCGCGUAGGCGGCUUUGUAAGUUAGAGGUGAAAGCCCGGGGCUCAACCCCGGAACUGCCUUUAAGACUGCAUCGCUUGAAUCCAGGAGAGGUGAGUGGAAUUCCGAGUGUAGAGGUGAAAUUCGUAGAUAUUCGGAAGAACACCAGUGGCGAAGGCGGCUCACUGGCCUGGUAUUGACGCUGAGGUGCGAAAGCGUGGGGAGCAAACAGG
rnacentral:rRNA from 1 species